rnacentral:misc_RNA from 1 species
UCCGGUUUGUCACCGGCAGUCCCAUUAGAGUGCCCAACUUAAUGUGGCAACUAAUGGCAAGGGUUGCGCUCGUUGCGGGACUUAACCCAACAUCUCACGACACGAGCUGACGACAGCCAUGCAGCACCUGUCUCCAGGUUCCCGAAGGCACCCCCACAUCUCUGCGGGGUUCCUGGGAUGUCAAGACCAGGUAAGGUUCUUCGCGUUGCAUCGAAUUAAACCACAUGCUCCACCGCUCGUGCGGGUCCCCGUCAAUUCCUUUGAGUUUUAGCCUUGCGGCCGUACUCCCCAGGCGGGACACUUAUUGCGUUAGCUUCGGCACAGAGGGGGUCGAUACCCCCUACACCUAGUGUCCAUAGUUUACAGCGUGGACUAC